GCUUAUUCAGCGUGCUAAGGCAUGGAGAAAUAAACAAUGGCCAAAUGUUUACCCAUGCAGGACAGAAGAAGCCAAAGUCUUACUUUCUUUCUUUGCUCGUUUUGAAAGCUUAUCAGCGUGCAAAGAAGAAAUUUGGAAAUCAAAUCUUUCGCUGAAUGAAUGGCUGAAAAGACCUCCUAUGAGCUUAAAGACCUUGUUCUUAGGGAAGAUCAACAAGAUAUUCACUAGGACAACGACUAUACUACAUGGUGGAAGGAACUGGUAACACGAUUCUGCAUGACACCCCAAAACCCCCUCGCCUCCUGGACCCAGCUAACCCAGCCAACAAUCUAUUUGACACCGGGUUCACCACUACACGUACCGGUGACAGGUCACAUGAUGAGGGGGAGGGGAACUGGGCUGAGAUAAAGAAGAAGAUUGAGACCAUCGACCUUACUGUAGAUAUAACAGCCUAAUAAUUAUAAGAGUAUUAUAACUCAUCAUAAAGUAUUUAACUUUAUACGUAUUAUGUUGAAAUUACUAAUUGAGAGCUAGACAUGCAGUGAGAUUAUAGGUACGGUAUAUAAACUUAACAUGUUCCAUUAUUUACAGUAUUUAUUCUACUGAGAUUACGCCCACCCUAAUUGCAUGCUACAAAGUAGCUAUAGGUGGGAUGGGCUUAAUUUCGAAAACGAUAUAAUUUUGUCUCGAAAUUAAGACCACCCAUGCAGGUUAUUUGCCUCGAAAUUACGCCCGCUCAUUAAAAAACGAUCUGCAUGCGUCUGACCUGCAGCUAUUGAAAUACAAUGCAAUAUACAACAAUGCAUAAGUAAAGUAGCUAUAUAAUUUUAUAUAUGUAUGAAGAAAAGUAUAUAAGUCAAGAUUCUGCAUCAGAGAGUUGUUCCUAUAUAUAUAUUCAGAGUCUUCAACAGAGAUUUAGAGAAGAUAGCUCAUAUAGAUCCAAUAAUUACUGCUAUUUGCAAGUAGACUAUAGGAGACAAGAACAAAUCAGCUCAAGAAAUUGUUAUUUUUUUUUAGCAGUGGGCGUAUUCUCAAGGCAAAUUAGCCUUUGCAGGAACUUUCACUCAAAAAUGGGGUGGGCGUAAUCUCGAUAGAGUACGGUAAUUAUGCAAAAACAACAACCUAUACAUAUUUUCGUGGGUUUUAAUAUUUCUGCUAUUUCUGUAAGUGAGAGUAAAAUCGCAAAAAAUGUGUAUACUUAUGUCUAGCAGAUAAUUGGAAAUGCAAUGAACUUUGCAGCUCUCUUCUCACUCUUGAAGCUACCAAUAUAGCUAGCAUUCUAUAGUGCAGAGCUAAGUAGAGUAGCAACACUCCAUAUAAUUAUGGACAAGUUUUGCUAUACGCAUGCACUGUUUUGAAAAGGCUGCAAUAGCAUUCCGAGUAGGCAUAACUCAAGAACGAUUAUUUUGCAAAUCCACACAUUAAAAUCCCCCAAAAAACUUUGUAGAAUCCUAUAGAAACUCUAACUUGCAGUUCAUUGAUCCUUGAACAACUGUAGCAGUCUACACACAUACAGACACACAU